AGAUUUACUGAUAACUGCUAGUGAGGAUGACUCAAUUCGACUUUUUGACAUUGCCAAUGGGAAGUUGCUGAAGACUACAUAUCAUAAGAAGCAUGGAGCUGAUCGAAUAUGCUUUACCCACCACCCUCAUUCUGUUAUAUGCUCUUCAAUACACAACUUGGAUGUGCAUGGAGAGUCUUUGCGAUACCUAUCCAUGUACGAUAAUCGAUGUCUUCGUUACUUUAAGGGACAUAAAGAGAGGGUUGUGUCACUGUGCAUGUCUCCAGUUAAUGACAGCUUUUUGUCUGGAUCUCUUGACCAUAGUGUGAGAAUAUGGGAUCUUCGUGUAAAUGCAUGCCAGGGGAUUUUGCGUCUAAGAGGUAGGCCUGCAGUUGCUUAUGACCAACAAGGCCUUGUCUUUGCAGUGGCAAUGGAAGGGGGUGCCAUCAAAUUGUUUGAUUCAAGACACUUUGACAAGGGGCCCUUUGAAACCUUCCUAGUUGGUGGAGAUACAGCUGAGGUUUGUGACAUAAAAUUCAGCAAUGAUGGAAAAUCAAUGCUUUUAACAACUACUAGUAAUAGCAUCUAUGUGCUUGACGCCUAUGCAGGAGAGAAGCGGUGUGGGUUUAAUCUGGAUCCUUCCCCGACAGCAAUGGAGGCAUCCUUUACACCAGACGGACAGUAUGUUUUUUCAGGUUCAGGAGAUGGAAGCUUGCAUGCGUGGCACAUCGACACACAAAAUAAGGUUUGUAGCUGGGAUAGCCACAUAGGUGUGGCAUCGUGCUUGAAAUGGGCCCCAAGAAGAGUCAUGUUUGUUGCUGCAUCAUCAGUUCUUACCUUUUGGAUUCCUGAUCAUAGAGGUCCUGGUGAGGCCGCUGGAGUCCAAGUAGAAGAACAAGUUACUCUUACUCAAUGACGUCUUUAUAAGUUACAUGUAGGUGUAAACACACUUGGCACUCCCAGGAGUUGUGUGGACAUUGUUGAUGCAUGUGUGUCUUUUAUUUGUUAUCCUUUUUUGUGAAGAAAGAAAACGAAACCAAGGACUUGGAUACCCCUUUCUGUUUGGUAAAUAGGUGUCACCUAUCUUCUAUAUGGGUUUUCUCAAUCAUUUGGCCCACUGCGAGCAUCAUUCUAUCACGUGUUAAUAGUUGCAAGUCUGUUUAAAUGGUGUGUACAAUGAGGCUUUGCGGUAUACUUAGACUAACAUAUCGAGGAUGACGGUGGAGUAAUUACACAAAGCUAAAAGGUCAUUUUGUUAGAGGAAGUGAUAUGCAAUGGAAGGAGUAAUUACAUAAGAUUGAAUUUGAGUAAUGUGUAUGUAUUAGUAUUAGUAUUAAGUAAUUUAUUUGUGCUUCUUGUGGCAAUUAAUAAUUUCAUUAAACUUAUAAAAA
rnacentral:misc_RNA from 1 species